rnacentral:rRNA from 1 species
UACAGAGGUCUCAAGCGUUGUUCGGAUUCAUUGGGCGUAAAGGGUGUGUAGGUGGCGCCGUAAGUCAGGUGUGAAAUCUCGGGGCUUAACUCCGAAACUGCAUUUGAUACUGCGGUGCUUGAGGACUGGAGAGGAGACUGGAAUUUAUGGUGUAGCAGUGAAAUGCGUAGAUAUGACAUAGAACACCAAUUGCGAAGGCAGCUCACUACGGGAUUAUUGACACUGAGGCACGAAAGCGUGGGGAUCAAACAGG